rnacentral:rRNA from 1 species
UACGGAGGAUCCGAGCGUUAUCCGGAUUUAUUGGGUUUAAAGGGUGCGUAGGCGGCUUUUUUAAGUCAGCGGUGAAAUUUUGCAGCUUAACUGUAACAGUGCCGUUGAUACUGGGGAGUUAGGAUUUGGUUGCUGUGGGUGGAAUGUGUGGUGUAGCGGUGAAAUGCUUAGAGAUCACACAGAAUAUCGAUUGCGAAGGCAGCUCACAAAGCCAAGAUUGACGCUGAGGCACGAAAGUGUGGGGAUCAAACAGGAUUAGAUACCCGU